AACGCACGAGACCUGCGGACCUGCGGAAGGAUCAUUACCGAGUUAUCCAACUCCCAACCCCUGUGAAUUAUACCUUUAAUUGUUGCUUCGGCGGGACUUCGCGCCCGCCGGGGACUCAAACCUUCUGAAUUUUUUAAUAAGUAUCUUCUGAGUGGUUAAAAAAAUGAAUCAAAACUUUCAACAACGGAUCUCU
rnacentral:misc_RNA from 1 species